rnacentral:rRNA from 1 species
UACGAAGGGGGCAAGCGUUGCCCGGAAUGACUGGGCGUAAAGCGUGCGCAGGCGGCUCUAUAAGUCAGAUGUGAAAUCCCCGGGCUCAACCUGGGAACUGCAUUUGUGACUGUAGAGCUGGAGUACGGUAGAGGGGGAUGGAAUUCCGCGUGUAGCAGUGAAAUGCGUAGAGACCCGGAGGAACACCAGUGGCGAAGGCGGCGUCCUGGCCUGCGACUGACGCUGUGGCGCGAAAGCUAGGGGAGCGAACGGG